rnacentral:lncRNA from 10 species
UGCAAAUUUUUAGCAGGAAAGUGAUGUGAUUUGCUUUACAUUUGAAAUGAAAAAUUACUCUGAUUACUAUGGGAAGAAUAGAACAUAUGCAUGAGUGGAUGCAGAGAUUCACGUACUCUCAAAAUGGUAUAUAAAUUUUAUCAGAAUAAAUAUGCAACUUUUCACUGAAUGAUAUGUCAUGGGCCAUUUCAAUGUUGUGUUAGUCAGGUUUGACAUGGUCAGGGUUUAUCAAUAGUGGUACUGUUGACAUUUUGGGCCACGUAAUUCUUUGUUUGGGGGGCU